rnacentral:lncRNA from 1 species
AUAAUGAUAAAUUUUAUAUAUAUUAAAAUAAAAUAAUGGAUUUUUAGCGGAGUAAAAUGGCGCCAUUUUGUGUAAAGGGAGAUGAAAGAUAAGAAAUAGUGGCGUUUACACUUUUUCACACAAUCGGUGCCUCCCCUUCCCCCCGAAAUCCCAAAAUUUGACAUGAAAUCUGUUCUUUUUUUUCUCCAAAAUCGGUUCCCUCCUCCCUCCCCAAUGAAAUCCUAAAAUUUCACCUGAAAUUUCUUCUCUUUUUUCCCCAUUUUAUUUUUCCCAAACCAUUUCCCCCCUACCCCGAUUCCCUUUAUUUUUUCCCCCAAUUUCCCCAAAUCGGCAGCCCUCUGCAUCUCUGUCAGUAGCCCGCUUCUGUAUCUCCGUCGAGAUAUGCUGUCAAGUAUACUGAAAGAGGACCCAAGGUACGUACUAGGAUUUACCUCAUCAUCGUCAUCAAAUCAUUAUCCGUUUUUUCUUUACAAGCUUUACCACUCAGCAAAGCACUAAUAUUGACUCUUGGCUGUCUAUUUAUCUGUCUUAGUUUCCCCCUUUUUUCUAUUUUAAUUUUCUCUCUUUCCUUCUAAAUUCCGAAUCAUUCUUUAAUUCCAUAAAGGUAAAGAAAAAGAUUACCCCUUCCUUAAGGAAAUAAAAUCAAAGAAAAAAAAACCCACCUUUUUCCUAUACAAAACAAUUAAUGUCCAUAGUCAAAUAAUAGUAAUUUGUUUUGUUAUUUUCUAUGAAAGAGCAAUGGGAAAUAUUUCUGGGUUUUGUCUUUUAUAGGUAUAUAUGUGUGUUUCUUUCUUUUGAUGGUGCAGGAUCUUCAAAAUCUGAGAGAAGAAAUUCAAUCCAAAAAAAGAAAAAGAACCCUAAAAGAUGAGGAUUAAUGGGAGUUGGGAGUUGAUUUUUUAUUGAUUUUUUCAAGGUAAAUUCUUUGUUUUUGUUCUUUAUUUUUCUCUGCGAUUAUUUUAUUUAUUCUAAGUGUUUGUUUAAGUGCCUGAGUGUAGACUUUAGCUUUAUUAUUAAAAAAGAAUUUAUUUUGAUUUGUUGGGUUUAAUUUAACCCAAAGUUUCUCUUCUAAUGUUCUGUAAAUUUAGGUUCAUUGGAUUUAUUUCUAUUAUAACUUGUGAAUUUGUCAAUGCCUGCAUAUAUAUAUAUAUAUUUGUACAAUUUGAUAAUUAAGUCAAUAAAGGUUUGCUUUUUUAUUUUGUUUUUUUGUUAAUACUUAUGAUUAUUGAUCCAUAUGAUCUCUAUGUGACCAGUUCUCAUACUUUUUUAUUGUCAUUAAUCAAUGUUUUUUAUGAGGGCUUUUGUGUUUUUUUUAUUUAUUAAAUUUUUAUGUUCCAAUUAUGAACUUUGAGUUUAAAGGGAGAAAAUUUUUAUUGUUAAGUGAUAUUGUUAUAUAGUAAAAAAAAGAUGAAUUCACAAAAUCAAGUGGAGUCAACUCUCAAGGAAAUAUUUGAAGUGGUCAAGCCGUUGCAUGAAGGCUGGGUUACUCAGUUUAAGAUCAUCAAUGAAUUGUGUGAAGUCGUUCAAUUUAUCGAAAAUUUAAGAGGUAAAAUUUUAUGUUACUUUAUUUUGAUUGUUCCAUGGGAAAUGCUAAUAGUGAUUCUUAGUAACUCGUCUUACGAGUAAAUCUAUGCAAGUUUAUUGAUUUUUGCAUUCUGUGAUGGAUGUUGCAAACAAUUUGCAAACCAGGAUAAUUUUUAUGUAUACAAACAUAAAAUGUUUGGCCCCGUGAAAAGAAACACGAAGUAAACAAGUGGUUUUUUUGUAUAUCAUUCUUUUCCAUUUUUCAUUAACUGAUAUUUGCUUUACUGCGUCAGGCAAGGUUUUUCUUUCAGUAACUAAAAUUUCCUCUCAAAUUUUUAAUUGUUUCAUAUCAUAUCUUACCUUCUCAGAAUUAUAUUUUUGAAUCAAAUUCAAAACUAAAUUCCAUGCUUUCUUUUAACUUUAUAAAAAAAUUUGUUAUAUAUAUUAUAAUUCUUAUUUUUCAGAAUUUUAAUAGAUUUAGUUCUGCUUUCAAAUUAAAAUGUUAUUUAGUAUUUUAAUUUUAAUAUUAUAAUUUAGUUAUAUUAAUAAAAUAUUACUUGAAUUUUAUAGGUUAUCAUGUUUGAGCAACAUUGCAAUAUUGAUGACCUUGAAUACCAAAUACUACUUUGGAAAAUCACCAUAAAUUGUGGGAGAUGAGUUAGAAGUUGCAUAAAUUAUGUAAUUAAAUCUUAAUGAGUCUAGUUUCAAAUAGAAUAAACGAGAACAUAUUUUGAAUUCUGUACAAUGAGAAAUUUGAUUCGUAAUGAAGAGUGGUCAGAUUAGUCAAACAGUGAAACAUGGGAAACUUUGAGAAAUAUCUGGUAUUGAUUAGCUAAACCAAAAAUUCUGAAAAUUUUAUUGAUAGAAGAUAUAUGAGUCUAUUUUCAAGGAAAAUUAACGGAACUUGAUUUGGAGUUUCGUAACUCCAGUUAUAAAUGAUUUAGUGACUGUUGCUCAGGAAGACAUCUUGCAGUGAAAUUAUGAUUAUUUGGUAAACAUUGACAAAAAUUUGUUAAUGAGUUGCUUAUUGUUUUCUUAUAAGCUUACUAUGAUCUGUAGGUGUGGUUGGCCGAAUAUUGUAAGGGGUUAAUACGUAGUUUGUAUUUGAAUAGUUAGAUUAACGUGUUAGUAAUCCAAUUGUAGGCGGUUCGUGUGUGGAUCUCGUCAGCAUAUCGUCGCAAACAGGUGUGUAACUAAUACCCUUUUUCUUAGUCUGGAUCGGUAAAAGUCAAAAAGCCGAAAUGUCGAAAACUGGUAUUUUGUAGAUUUGCGAGUGUGCGAAUGCUCGUGAGGUAAAUCGAUUAAUGUUUUUGGUAAGUUACAAAAUUUGGACUGCAAAGUGCAUGAUUUCUGUGCCCUCGAUAUUUUUGGGCUUAAUAGGCUAAAAUUAGAAUGAUGGGUCAACGGGCCCAAUUUGGUAAGAACCCUCGUUACGUGAUUCUGUAGUAUGUGAAAGGUAGGAAUAUGCAUGAAAAACCCUAAAAUAGAUAAAUUAUUGAAAUGCCUUUAAAAGUGGAAAAUUUACAGUUUUACCCCUAGUAGAUAAAUUACCGAAAUACCCCUAGGGUUAAAUUGACCUAAAUGCAUAUUUGACUGUUGUUAUUUACUGCAUGCCAUGUUGUUAUUAUCUGAUGCAUGGGAUUGGGAUAUUGACAGAGGAAGUACUGAAAGUGGUUUGCCCACGUACUGGAGGCUUUGCCUCAAUUUAUUGUUAACUGAGCAGCAAUGCUGCAACUGUGGAGUGUUGGGCUGGGUGGGUUGAGCUAUUCCCCACAUGGAGCGUAUGAUUGGUACGGGUGGAGUGUAGUGGUUGGUGGGUUUAGUAGUCUCUCCAAAUGGGCUUGCUUAUGUUUACUGAUGUUGCAUGUAUUUUGAAACGGGCCUAUGAGCCAUACUGUUAUCUGAAUAAGGGGCUAAGGUCCAGUUUAUUGUAAUCUGAAAAGGGCUUUGACCCAGUACCACUGUUACCUAAAUGGGCUUAGGCCCAAUGGGCUUGAGCUGACUUGGGCUUUGAAUGGGUUUUCCUUACACACUGAGUUUCUCCAAACUCACCCUUCUUUAACCUUGCAGGUGAGCCUUGAUGUGGGUGAAUUGGAGCCGGAGGAGAUUCAGAGUGGCCAUGGUGAACACUUUUGGGUUUGAAAAAGAGACUGGUUUUCUUAAGUUAUUUUUAAUUACUAUUUAAUUUUUGGGUUGUAAUAAGGCCAUUUUAACUUUAUUUUCUUUUAUUUUUCUGGGAUUAUAUUAUUAAAAACAACUUUAAAUUGAUGGAUACUAAUUCAAAUGGGCUAGACUUAGGGCGUGAUUUCAAAACGAUACUUGUUUUUUUAAAAAUAACACGUCACGAAUAUUCGAUUUCCUAAAGAUAAUCACUCAAAGAAAUUUCAACUUGUUAUAACCAAGUGUGGCAAUGGAUGUAUGCAUGUCUAGGAUUGGAUCUAAUCGGAGAGCUUGGUACUUAAGCAGCUUUCAUGGCUCACCUCCUCUAUUAUGGAUACCUAUCUGGGCCCAGCUUCCAUUCACUUUAACCUAUAAUGAAAUUAUCUUUUAAAACACUAAGUAAGUUUUUCUGGAUCAACAAUAUAAAAUGUUUUGAACGCUUUAAAGUGGCACGUCGAAUUCGGCUUAACGUCUUGGUCGGGUUGGGGAUGUUACAUUUAGUGGUAUCAGAGCCUAGGUUGCAACAACACGGCUGUGGAAUGGGUUUACAAAAACAAAGAUUUUUGAAAGCGAAAAUUUUAUAAAGAAUGCGAAAAACUCGAUUUUUAAAAUUUAGAUCUUUAGAAGGUGGUAUUUUGAAUCUCCGACUCAAGUCUGUAAGUAUUACUCUGAACUCUUCUAAAUAUUUUUCUGACUUAUCUGUCUGUACUGAAACCCUAUUAGGAUACUCUAGAUAGGAUGAUACUGAAACCAUAGGAAAAUCUGAUAAGAGACUGAAACUGUAGCUAGACUUCGAUUCUACGAAAACAAACUCUGAACUAUUGUCUGAUUCAUAAAGCAUCUGUAAUAAACACAAAAAUAUUGAAUUAAUGCAUAAAAAUUCGUAAUCAAGAUAAUACAAUAUGAGUACAAGAGGCCGUGGAUGGAGCCGAGUAAGUGCUCGAGCGAGAUCUUCGUCUUCGAGACAUAUGCCGGCGGUGGAUGCACCGGUACCACCGGCAACAGAGGUAGAGUCUCAUGAUCGCGGUGCCAAGGAUGAUGCCUUGUCACAGGCAAUGCUUCGUGUUCUGGAAAGGGUUGCCAGGGCAAGUGCGGGCAAUGGAGUUCGGGGAUUUAUUUUUGAACGACUUCGGGCUAACGGAAUGGAGAUCUUUAGGGGCGUGCCUGGUAUAGCCCCGAAUGUAGCGAAUAUUGGUUGGAGGCCACAGAACGAAUUAUGGACAACUUGGACUGCUCUGAGGAGAUUGUGAGUGUGGUAUCUGUACUAAGUCCUUUGGGUCACUCGGUUAGGGUAGACAAACUGUAAAGGGAUGUACCCUUAGAAACUCAAGGUAGGAUUUUCUCUAGAGAUCUAAUGGAGUUACCGUUCGGAGAGUUUGAUCUCAUUUUGGGAAUGGACUGGCUUAUUAAGCAUAAGGUGACCUUGGAUUGUGCUGCUAAACAAAUGGUGUUAAGGACCACAAAGGAUGAGGAGGUUAUGGUAAUAGGUGAGCGAAUGGAUUAUUUGUCCAAUGUGGUGUCGGCAUUAAGGGCCAAAAAGUGGAUUCGAAAAUGUUGUGAGGUCUAUUUGGCAUUUGUAAGUUAGUCAAAAGAGAAGGGACUGACAGUGGAUAAGGUGAGGACCAUAAAGGAGUUCCAAGAUGUUUUUUUCGGAGGAGCUUCCAGGAUUGCCUCCGAACCGAGAAGUUGAGUUUGGAAUAGAUUUGUUGCCUGGAACGGUGCCUGUGUCUAUCGCAUCGUAUAGGAUGGCACCGAAGGAGUUAGUGGAGUUAAAGACUCAAAUUCAAGAGUUUUUGGAUAGGGGCUUCAUUAGGCCAAGCGUGUCUCCAUGGGGAGCACUAGUGCUAUUCGUGAAAAAGAAGGAUGGUACGAUGCGGAUGUGCAUUGAUUAUCGCCAGUUGAACAAACUGAUGAUUAAGAAUAAGUAUCCACUGCCAAGGAUUGACGAUCUAUUUGACCAGCUUAGAAGGGCUUCUGUAUUUUCUAAGAUCGACCUUCGAUUUGGAUAUCAUCAGUUAAGAGUCAAGGAGGCAGAUCCAUAAGACGACAUUCAGGACUCAGUAUGGUCAUUACAAGUUUCUGGUUAUGCCAUUUGGACUGACGAAUGCUCCUGCAGCAUUUAUGGAUCUGAUGAAUCGUGUGUUCCAACCAUUUUUUGAUCAGUUCGUAGUCGUCUUUAUUAACGAUAUCCUGGUAUAUUCUGAAACUGAAGCGAAACAUGAUGAGCAUCUCCAUAUAGUGCUGCAAGUGUUGAGGGAGAAGGAACUCUUUGUGAAGUUCAGCAAGUCUAAACUUUGGUUGAGGGAGGUAACCUUCUUAGGACAUGCGAUCUCUGCUGAGGGGAUUAAGGUGGACCCUCGAAAAUUUGAAACGAUUUUGGAGUGGAAGCCCCCUAGGUCAGUGUCAGAAAUACGGAGUUUCCUAGGACUGGCAGGAUACUACAGAAGGUUUGUGGAAAGUUUUUCUGUGAUGACAGCACCUUUGACAAAACUCAUAAGGAAAUGAGUACCGUUGUAUGGACUGAGAAGCAGUAAGAAGCUUUUGAGAAGUUGAAGAAAGUUCUGACUGAAGCACCUGUGUUAAUUCAGUCGGAGUCUGUGAAGGAUUUUACUGUGUACAGUGACGCAUCACAUGUAGGCUUGGGCUGCGUGUUAAUGCAGGAGGGUAAGGUGGUUGCAUAUGCAUCACGACAGCUUAAACCUCACGAAGGAAACUAUCUUACUCAUGAUUUGGAGUUGGCGGCAGUGAUAUUUGCACUUAAGAUUUGGAGACAUUACUUGUACGGGGAGAGGUGUAUUAUAUACACAGACCACAAGGGUCUUAAGUAUUUGUUGACUCAGAAGGAGCUAAACCUUAGGCAAAGGAGAUGGAUUGAGUUGCUUAAGGAUUAUGACUAUUCGAUUGAGUAUCACCAGGCAAGGCUAAUGUGGUAGCCGAUGCUCUAAGUCGUAGAACUGUAUCUGAUCUGAGAGCAAUGUUUUCUCGUCUGAGCCUGUAUGAUGAUAGAAGUCUGUUGGCUGAAUUGCAAGUGAGGCCAACCUGGGUGGAUCAGAUUAAGGAAAAGUAGUUGAACGAUGAGUCUUUGGUCGCUCGUUUCCAACAAGUUAAGGAAGGGGAAACUUUUGAGUUUGGGUUAAAUGGCGAAGGAGUUUUAUGUUUCCGAGGAAGAAUUUGUGUUCCGAAGGACUCUGAUUUGAGGCAGACAAUAUUGAAGGAAGCUCGUGGAGGACUAUGUGGCAUGCAUCCUGGGGGGAAUAAGUUGUAUCACGACUUGCGAGAAUUGUACUGGUGGCCUGGACUUAAGCGAGAAGUAACGGAGUUUGUAGGAAAAUGUCUGACAUGCCAACAAGUGAAAGCUGAGCAUCAAUUACCUUUUGGACUGUUACAGCCGGUGAAGAUACCACUUUGGAAGUGGGAGAGGGUAACCAUAGACUUUGUGAGUGGGUUGUCUUUGACACCAUCAAAGAAAGACUCGGUGUGGGUGAUUGUGGAUAGGUUGACCAAAUCAGCCCAUUUCAUACUUGUACGUACUGACUUUUCGCUUCAAAAGUUAGCCAAGCUGUAUGUGGCAGAGAUUGUACGACUUCAUGGAAUCCCAGUUUCGAUUAUCUCUGAUCGGGAUCCCAGAUUCACAUCUCGAUUUUGGCAAAAGUUGCAUGAGGCAUUGGGGACGCGAUUGAACUUUAGUACGACUUUCCAUCCCCAAACUGAUGGUCAGUCAGAGAGGGUUAUUCAGAUUCUAGAGGACAUGUUGAGGGGAUGCGUGAUUGACUUUCGAGGUAGUUGGGAGAAUUACUUACCGUUGGCAGAAUUUGCGUACAAUAACAAUUACCAAGCGAGUAUUCGAAUGGCACCGUAUGAAGCACUGUAUGGACGAAGGUGUCGUACACCUAGUUGUUGGACUGAACUAAGAGAGUGACAAAUUCUUGGACCAGAGUUGGUAGCUGAUACUGAGGAUAAGGUCAAAUAAUUAGGGACCGGUUAAAAGAAGCAUCUGAUAGGAAAAAGUUGUAUGCAAAUUUGAAGCGUAAGGAGAUUGAGUACUCAGUAGGUGAUAUGGUCUUCUUAAAGGUUUCUCAUUGGAAGAAGAUAUUAAGGUUCGGUAAGAAGGGCAAGUUGAGUCCGCGGUUCAUUGGGCCUUAUCGGGUUUUGAAGCGAGUAGGCCCAGUGGCUUAUCAGUUGGAAUUGCCUCAAGAGUUAGACAGGAUUCACGAUGUUUUUCAUGUCUCCAUAUUAAGGCGUUAUCGUUCUGACCCUGCUCAUGUCCUGCCAGUUGCAGAAAUUGAAGUUCAGACUGAUUUGACCUUUGAGGAGGAGCCUGUGCAAAUAUUGGCUCGAGAUGUUAAGGUUCUCAGAAGGAAACCUGUCCCGUUAGUGAAAGUACUUUGGCGUAAUCAUGGAAGGGAAUAAGCUACUUGGGAAUCAGAAGAGACUAUGCGUCAACAAUACCCUCAACUAGUUGGAUCAGGUAAAUUUCGAGGACGAAAUUUCUUUAAGGAGGGUAGAGUUGUAACGCCUCAAUUUUCGGGAAUUCUGUGAAUGUUGGCAUAGGUUUAAUUAUGUUAGUGGGCCUCUAGAAGGCCCAAGCUUAAGAUAGAACCCGGUAAUUUUAGUUAAUUUUUGUUCCAUAAGAAAAAGGGGGUGAAAUUAUGAAAUAGAACCUAUAUAAAAAUGUUUAAAAAUGCUAUAGGGUAAAUUGAAGUGGCCAAAUAAAUAUGAGUGCAAAAUAGGAGGAUUUGCAUGACAAACCUCCCAUUUUACAUGAAGUGGCCAGCCAUCAUGUUGUUGUAGACAAUAUGAGCACUUGAUAUCCAUAAUUCAUGGUACAAAUUGAUAAUGGGUUAGGUAAAUGUUCCAUGAUAAUGGAUUAGGUAAAUAUUUCAUGAUAAUGUGUUAGGUAAAUGUUCCAUGAUAAUGGUUUAGGUAAAUGUUCCAUGAUAAUGGUUUAGGUAAAUAUUCCAUGAUGGGCAUUUCAUGUCUUUUGUAUUAAAGAAUUAAAUGGAUGAAAUAUGAAAUUUUAUUAAAAAAAAAGGGGGUGAAAAGAACAAAGUUUUGUCUAUCUUUGUUCAUCAUAGCGUAAAGUUAGAGAAGAGAAAGGAGAGGAGAAAGCUCUUGAAUGUUCGGUCACUUGGGGAAGAAAAUUGAAGGUAAGUUCAUGGUAGUUUGCUUCUAUCUUGAUGUUCAUGAGUUCUUCUUGAUUCUACCUUAACUCUUGAAGCAUAUUUUGGUUUUUAGUUGUGUUGUGAGCAUUUAGUCAUGAAUUAAAAUGAAGGAAAUGGUUGUUGUUUCAUGUUCUUUUGAUGAAAAAUGGAAGAUAGGUGAAGUUGAGCCAAACAAAUGAGCAUGCAUGUGCCUUAGAUGCUAAAGGGAAAAAUCGGCUAACAUGUUGUGCUUUAAAAUGAUGAAAUGGAGAUUAUACUUAAGUAAAAUCAUAGAUAUGUGAUGAUUGAUUGGUGAUAUACAUGUUUAAAUAACAAGCAUGCAAGUUAGGUGUGAAAGAGUGAUUUGGUAAUAAAUCUGCUUGGGACAGCAGCAGUAACGUGACUUUGGAAAAUCACCAUAAAUUGUGGGAGAUGAGUUAGAAGUUGCAUAAAUUAUGUAAUUAAUUUCAAAUGGAAUAAACAAGAACAUAUUUUGAAUUCUGUACAAUAAGAAAUUUAAUUCGUAAUGAAGAGUGGUCAGAUUAGUCAAACAGUAAAACAUGGGAAACUUUGAGAAAUAUCUGGUAUUGAUUGGCUAAACCAAAAAUUCUGAAAAUUUUAUGGAUAGAAGAUAUAUGAGUCUAUUUUCAAGGAAAAUUAACGGAACUUGAUUUGGAGUUUCGUAGCUCCAGUUAUAAAUGAUUUAGUGACUGUUGCUCUGGAAGACAGCUUACAGUGAAAUUAUGAUUAUGUGGUAAACAUUGACAAAAAUUUGUUAAUGAGUUGCUUAUUGUUUUCUUAUAAGCUUACUAUGAUCUGUAGGUGUGGUUGGCCGAAUAUUGUAAAGGGUUAAUACGUAGUUUGUAUUUGAAUAGUUAAAUUAACGUGUUAGUAAUCCAAUUGUAGGCGGUUCGUGUGUGGAUCUCGUCAGUAUAUCGUCGCAAACAGGUGUGUAACUAACACCCUUUUUCUUAGUCUGGAUUGGUAAAAGUCGAAAAGCCGAAAUGCCAAAAACUGGUAUUUUGUAGAUUUGCGAGUGUGCGAAUGCUCGUGAGGUAAAUCGAUUAAUAUUUUUGGUAAGCUACAAAAUUUGGACUGCAAAGUGCAUGAUUUUUGUGCCCUCGAUAUUUUUGGGCUUAAUGGGCCAAAAUUAGAAUGAUGGGCCAACGGGCCCAAUUCGGUAAGAACCUUCGUUACAUGAUUCUGUAGUAUGUGAAAGGUAGGAAUAUGCAUGAAAAACCCUAAAAUAGAUAAAGUACUGAAAUGCCUUUAAAAGUGGAAAAUUUAUAGUUUUACUCCUAGUAGAUAAAUUACCGAAAUACCCCUAGGGUUAAAUUGACCUAAAUGCAUGUUUGACUGUUGUUAUUUAUUGCAUGCCAUGUUGUUAUUAUUUGAUGCAUGGGAUUGGGAUAUUGACAGAGGAAGUACUGAAAGUGGUUUGUCCACGUACUGGAGGCUUUGCCUCAAUUUACUGUUAACUGAGCAGCAAUGCUGCAACUGUGGAGUGUUGGGCUGGGUGGGUUGAGCUAUUCCCCACAUGGAGCGUAUGACUGGUACGGGUGGAGUGUAGUGGUUGGUGGGUUUAGUAGUCUCCCCAAAUGGGCUUGCAUAUGUUUACUGAUGUUGCAUGUAUUUUGAAAUGGGCCUAUGGGCCAUACUGUUAUGUAAAUAAGGGGCUAAGGCCCAGUUUAUUGUAAUCUGAAAGGGCUCUGGCCCAGUACCACUGUUACCUACAUGGGCUUGAGCUGACUUGGGCUUUGAAUGGGUUUUCCUUACACACUGAGUUUCCCCAAACUCACCCCUUCUUUAACCUUGCAGGUGAGCCUUGAUGUGGGUGAAUUGGAGUCGGAGGGGAUUCAGAGUGGCCAUGGUGAACACUUUUGGGUUUGAAAAAGAGACUGGUUUUCUUAAGUUAUUUUUAAUUACUAUUUAAUUUUUGGGUUGUAAUAAGGCCAUUUUAACUUUAUUUUCUUCUUUGAUUUUUCUGGGAUUAUAUUAUUAAAAAUAACUUUAAAUUGAUGGAUACUAAUUCAAAUGGGCUAGACUUAGGGCGUGAUUUCAAAACGAUACUUGUUUUUUUUAAAAUAACACGACGUCACGAAUAUUCGAUUUCCUAAAGAUAAUCACUCAAAGAAAUUUCAACUUGUUAUAACCAAGUGUGGCAAUGGAUGUGGGCAUGUCUAGGAUUGGAUCAAAUUGGAGAGCUUGGUACUUAAGUAGCCUUUAUGACACACCUCCUCUGUUAUGGAUACCUACCUGGUGCCCAGCUUCCAUUCACUUUAACCUAUAAUGAAAUUAUCUUUUAAAACACUAAGUAAGUUUUUCUGGAUCAACAGUAUAAAAUGUUUUGAACGCUUCAAAGUGGCGCGUCGUAUUCGGCCUUAACGUCUGGGCCGGGUUAGGGGUGUUACAACUUUUGAUGAUGAACCAACUCUACAACUUACCUAAAUAAAUUCAUCUAUGGUCCAUCAAUUCACUAUUAAAAUAUUUGGGACCUAAUACCAUUAGCACAUUCAUGCAACUUUCUUGAGAUGAUAAAACUUGUCCUUCUGUGAUGAUUGCCAAGAGUGUUUUUUCCAUAAUCUAUAGCAUGAAACUGUUUUGAUGAUACACUUAAUG